GGGUUGUGAGGUUAAGCGACUAAGCGUACACGGUGGAUGCCCUGGCAGUCAGAGGCGAUGAAGGACGUGCUAAUCUGCGAUAAGCGUCGGUAAGGUGAUAUGAACCGUUAUAACCGGCGAUUUCCGAAUGGGGAAACCCAGUGUGUUUCGACACACUAUCAUUAACUGAAUCCAUAGGUUAAUGAGGCGAACCGGGGGAACUGAAACAUCUAAGUACCCCGAGGAAAAGAAAUCAACCGAGAUUCCCCCAGUAGCGGCGAGCGAACGGGGAGCAGCCCAGAGCCUGAAUCAGUGUGUGUGUUAGUGGAAGCGUCUGGAAAGGCGCGCGAUACAGGGUGACAGCCCCGUACACAAAAAUGCACAUGCUGUGAGCUCGAUGAGUAGGGCGGGACACGUGGUAUCCUGUCUGAAUAUGGGGGGACCAUCCUCCAAGGCUAAAUACUCCUGACUGACCGAUAGUGAACCAGUACCGUGAGGGAAAGGCGAAAAGAACCCCGGCGAGGGGAGUGAAAAAGAACCUGAAACCGUGUACGUACAAGCAGUGGGAGCACGCUUAGGCGUGUGACUGCGUACCUUUUGUAUAAUGGGUCAGCGACUUAUAUUCUGUAGCAAGGUUAACCGAAUAGGGGAGCCGAAGGGAAACCGAGUCUUAACUGGGCGUUAAGUUGCAGGGUAUAGACCCGAAACCCGGUGAUCUAGCCAUGGGCAGGUUGAAGGUUGGGUAACACUAACUGGAGGACCGAACCGACUAAUGUUGAAAAAUUAGCGGAUGACUUGUGGCUGGGGGUGAAAGGCCAAUCAAACCGGGAGAUAGCUGGUUCUCCCCGAAAGCUAUUUAGGUAGCGCCUCGUGAAUUCAUCUCCGGGGGUAGAGCACUGUUUCGGCAAGGGGGUCAUCCCGACUUACCAACCCGAUGCAAACUGCGAAUACCGGAGAAUGUUAUCACGGGAGACACACGGCGGGUGCUAACGUCCGUCGUGAAGAGGGAAACAACCCAGACCGCCAGCUAAGGUCCCAAAGUCAUGGUUAAGUGGGAAACGAUGUGGGAAGGCCCAGACAGCCAGGAUGUUGGCUUAGAAGCAGCCAUCAUUUAAAGAAAGCGUAAUAGCUCACUGGUCGAGUCGGCCUGCGCGGAAGAUGUAACGGGGCUAAACCAUGCACCGAAGCUGCGGCAGCGACGCUUAUGCGUUGUUGGGUAGGGGAGCGUUCUGUAAGCCUGCGAAGGUGUGCUGUGAGGCAUGCUGGAGGUAUCAGAAGUGCGAAUGCUGACAUAAGUAACGAUAAAGCGGGUGAAAAGCCCGCUCGCCGGAAGACCAAGGGUUCCUGUCCAACGUUAAUCGGGGCAGGGUGAGUCGACCCCUAAGGCGAGGCCGAAAGGCGUAGUCGAUGGGAAACAGGUUAAUAUUCCUGUACUUGGUGUUACUGCGAAGGGGGGACGGAGAAGGCUAUGUUGGCCGGGCGACGGUUGUCCCGGUUUAAGCGUGUAGGCUGGUUUUCCAGGCAAAUCCGGAAAAUCAAGGCUGAGGCGUGAUGACGAGGCACUACGGUGCUGAAGCAACAAAUGCCCUGCUUCCAGGAAAAGCCUCUAAGCAUCAGGUAACAUCAAAUCGUACCCCAAACCGACACAGGUGGUCAGGUAGAGAAUACCAAGGCGCUUGAGAGAACUCGGGUGAAGGAACUAGGCAAAAUGGUGCCGUAACUUCGGGAGAAGGCACGCUGAUAUGUAGGUGAGGUCCCUCGCGGAUGGAGCUGAAAUCAGUCGAAGAUACCAGCUGGCUGCAACUGUUUAUUAAAAACACAGCACUGUGCAAACACGAAAGUGGACGUAUACGGUGUGACGCCUGCCCGGUGCCGGAAGGUUAAUUGAUGGGGUUAGCGCAAGCGAAGCUCUUGAUCGAAGCCCCGGUAAACGGCGGCCGUAACUAUAACGGUCCUAAGGUAGCGAAAUUCCUUGUCGGGUAAGUUCCGACCUGCACGAAUGGCGUAAUGAUGGCCAGGCUGUCUCCACCCGAGACUCAGUGAAAUUGAACUCGCUGUGAAGAUGCAGUGUACCCGCGGCAAGACGGAAAGACCCCGUGAACCUUUACUAUAGCUUGACACUGAACAUUGAGCCUUGAUGUGUAGGAUAGGUGGGAGGCUUAGAAGUGUGGACGCCAGUCUGCAUGGAGCCGACCUUGAAAUACCACCCUUUAAUGUUUGAUGUUCUAACGUGGACCCGUAAUCCGGGUUGCGGACAGUGUCUGGUGGGUAGUUUGACUGGGGCGGUCUCCUCCUAAAGAGUAACGGAGGAGCACGAAGGUUGGCUAAUCCUGGUCGGACAUCAGGAGGUUAGUGCAAUGGCAUAAGCCAGCUUGACUGCGAGCGUGACGGCGCGAGCAGGUGCGAAAGCAGGUCAUAGUGAUCCGGUGGUUCUGAAUGGAAGGGCCAUCGCUCAACGGAUAAAAGGUACUCCGGGGAUAACAGGCUGAUACCGCCCAAGAGUUCAUAUCGACGGCGGUGUUUGGCACCUCGAUGUCGGCUCAUCACAUCCUGGGGCUGAAGUAGGUCCCAAGGGUAUGGCUGUUCGCCAUUUAAAGUGGUACGCGAGCUGGGUUUAGAACGUCGUGAGACAGUUCGGUCCCUAUCUGCCGUGGGCGCUGGAGAACUGAGGGGGGCUGCUCCUAGUACGAGAGGACCGGAGUGGACGCAUCACUGGUGUUCGGGUUGUCAUGCCAAUGGCACUGCCCGGUAGCUAAAUGCGGAAGAGAUAAGUGCUGAAAGCAUCUAAGCACGAAACUUGCCCCGAGAUGAGUUCUCCCUGACCCUUUAAGGGUCCUGAAGGAACGUUGAAGACGACGACGUUGAUAGGCCGGGUGUGUAAGCGCAGCGAUGCGUUGAGCUAACCGGUACUAAUGAACCGUGAGGCUUAACCUUACAACGCCGAAG
rnacentral:rRNA from 1 species